rnacentral:rRNA from 1 species
CGUACACUCCUACGGGAGGCAGCAGUGGGGAAUAUUGCACAAUGGGCGCAAGCCUGAUGCAGCCAUGCCGCGUGUAUGAAGAAGGCCUUCGGGUUGUAAAGUACUUUCAGCGGGGAGGAAGGCAAUACGGUUAAUAACCGUGUUGAUUGACGUUACCCGCAGAAGAAGCACCGGCUAACUCCGUGCCAGCAGCCGCGGUAAUACGGAGGGUGCAAGCGUUAAUCGGAAUUACUGGGCGUAAAGCGCACGCAGGCGGUCUGUCAAGUCGGAUGUGAAAUCCCCGGGCUCAACCUGGGAACUGCAUUCGAAACUGGCAGGCUUGAGCCUUGUAGAGGGGGGUAGAAUUCCAGGUGUAGCGGUGAAAUGCGUAGAGAUCUGGAGGAAUACCGGUGGCGAAGGCGGCCCCCUGGACAAAGACUGACGCUCAGGUGCGAAAGCGUGGGGAGCAAACAGGAUUAGAAACCCCAGUAGUCC